GACGAACGCUGGCGGCGUGCUUAACACAUGCAAGUCGAACGGAAAGGCCCUGCUUUUGUGGGGUGCUCGAGUGGCGAACGGGUGAGUAACACGUGAGUAACCUGCCCUUGACUUUGGGAUAACUUCAGGAAACUGGGGCUAAUACCGGAUAGGAGCUCCUGCUGCAUGGUGGGGGUUGGAAAGUUUCGGCGGUUGGGGAUGGACUCGCGGCUUAUCAGCUUGUUGGUGGGGUAGUGGCUUACCAAGGCUUUGACGGGUAGCCGGCCUGAGAGGGUGACCGGCCACAUUGGGACUGGGAUACGGCCCAGACUCCUACGGGAGGGAGGAGUGGGGAAUAUUGCAAAAUGGGCGGAAGCCUGAUGCAGCAACGCCGCGUGCGGGAUGACGGCCUUCGGGGUGUAAACCGCUUUCGCCUGUGACGAAGCGUGAGUGACGGUAAUGGGGAAAGAAGCACCGGCUAACUACGU
rnacentral:rRNA from 1 species